rnacentral:lncRNA from 1 species
AUAAAAAUAAUUAAUUAGAAAAUAAAUAAAAAUAAAAAUUUUAUAUUUGAUAAAACAAGUUUAUUGAACAAUUUGAAUUAAACUUUAAAUAGAAAAAAACAAAAACUAUUCAAACAGCUGGUGAUGGAGCCGACCAUCCUAACAGUAGGUUUCAAAAACUAUUAAAUAUGAGCCAGAAACUCAUUUGGAGGUUCUGAAUUUGGGUGGAUAUGCCGACACCUUGAAUUGCUGUUAUGAUUAUAGAGAAGAAUGUGACAUGGAAAUAAGAGGAAAAGGUGUUGGGAGUUUUUUAACGUAUC